rnacentral:rRNA from 1 species
UACGUAGGGGGCAAGCGUUGUCCGGAAUCAUUGGGCGUAAAGCGCGUGUGGGCGGUUUGGUAAGUCCGCUCUGAAAGUCCGGGGCUCAACCCCGGGAGGCGGGUGGAUACUGUCAGACUAGAGUGCGGAAGAGGCGAGUGGAAUUCCCGGUGUAGCGGUGAAAUGCGCAGAUAUCGGGAGGAACACCAAUUGCGAAGGCAGCUCGCUGGGACGUGACUGACGCUGAGACGCGAAAGCGUGGGGAGCAAACAGG